rnacentral:rRNA from 1 species
GACGAACGCUGGCGGCGUGCUUAACACAUGCAAGUCGAACGGAAAGGCCCUGCUUUUGUGGGGUGCUCGAGUGGCGAACGGGUGAGUAACACGUGAGUAACCUGCCCUUGACUUUGGUAUAACUUCAGGAAACUGGGGCUAAUACCGGAUAUGAGCUCCUGCUGCAUGGUGGGGGUUGGAAAGUUUCGGCGGUUGGGGAUGGACUCGCGGCUUAUCAGCUUGUUGGUGGGGUAGUGGCUUACCAAGGCUUUGCCGGGUAGCCGGCCUGAGAGGGUGACCGGCCACAUUGGGACUGAGAUACGGCCCAGACUCCUACGGGAGGCAGCAGUGGGGAAUAUUGCACAAUGGGCGGAAGCCUGAUGCAGCAACGCCGCGUGCGGGAUGACGGCCUUCGGGUUGUAAACCGCUUUCGCCUGUGACGAAGCGUGAGUGACGGUAAUGGGUAAAGAAGCACCGGCUAACUACGUG